AACGAAUUAAUUUUAACCCCGACUAUCUGCCCACUGUAUAUAUUAAAUGGCCGCGGUAUCUUGACCGUGCAAAGGUAGCAUAAUCAUUAGUCUUUUAAUUGAAGGCUGGAAUGAAUGGUUUGACGAAGUAUAAGCUGUCUCUAUAUAAUAAAUGGAAUUUGUCUUUUUAGUUAAAAGACUUAAAUAAAAAUAAGGGACGAGAAGACCCUAUAGAGCUUUAUAUAAUUAUACAAUAUGAAAUUUUUUAGAUGUUUUAUUAGUUUAUUGUGUAUUUAUAUUGUGUUGGGGUGACAUAAAGAUAAAAUUAACUCUUUAUAUUUAUUAACAUAGAUUUAUGAAUACUUGAUCCAGUAUUACUGAUUGAAAGAUAAAGUUACCUUAGGGAUAACAGCGUAAUCCUUCUUGAGAGUUCAUAUCGAAAGAGGGGGUUGCGACCUCGAUGUUGGACUAAGAAAAUGAUUAAAUGCAGCAGUUUAAUUAAUAGGUCUGUUCGACCUUUAAAUUCUUACGUGAUCUGAUUCCAGACCGG
rnacentral:rRNA from 1 species